rnacentral:pre_miRNA from 1 species
AGUGGAAUUGCUGGAUUAUAUGGUAACUCUAUGUAUAUAUUUUUUUGAGUAACUGCCAAAUUGUUUUCCAAAAUGGCUACACCAUUUUACAAUCCCACCAGCCAU